rnacentral:tRNA from 1 species
GGGCUGGGGCUCAGCGGUAGAGCGCUUGCCUAGCAUGUGUGAGGCACUGGGUUCGAUUCUCAGCACCACA